AACCAUAGAAACCUGCGGAGUACCUGCGGAGGGAUCAUACAGAGUUGCAAAACUCCCUAAACCAUUGUGAACGUUACCUAAACCGUUGCUUCGGCGGGCGGCCCGGGUCCUUCCCGGCGCCCCUCGGCCCUCGCGGGCGCCCGCCGGAGGUAAACCAAACUAUUGCAUUGUAUGGCCUCUCUGAGUCUUCUGUACUGAAUAAGUCAAAACUUUUAACAAUGGAUCUCAGAUCGGAAGAGC
rnacentral:misc_RNA from 1 species